GCUAAACGCGAAGAACCUUACCCACACUUGACAUGUCUCUUGGGACUUUCAGAGAUGAUUGUCUUCGGUUCGGCCGGGGAGAACACAGGUGCUGCAUGGCUGUCGUCAGCUCGUGUCGUGAGAUGUUGGGUUAAGUCCCGCAACGAGCGCAACCCUUAUCGUAUGUUGCCACCAUUUAGUUGGGCACUCAUGCGAGACUGCCGGUGAUAAGCCGGAGGAAGGCGGGGACGAUGUCAAGUCAUCAUGGCCCUUACGUGUGGGGCUAGAAACGUGCUACAAUGGUGGUUACAGUGGGCAGCGAGGUCGUGAGGCCAAGCUAAUCCCUAAAAGCCAUCUCAGUUCAGAUUGCAGUCUGCAACUCGACUGCAUGAAGUUGGAAUCGCUAGUAAUCGUGAAUCAGCAUGUCACGGUGAAUACGUUCCCGGGUCUUGUACACACCG
rnacentral:rRNA from 1 species